GAUGAAGAACGUAGCGAAAUGCGAUACGUAAUGUGAAUUGCAGAAUUCAGUGAAUCAUCGAAUCUUUGAACGCACAUUGCACUCUCUGGUAUUCCGGAGAGUAUGCUUGUUUGAGUAUCUGUAAACAUCUCAAAUCUCUCUUCAAUUGCUUCAAUUGGGUCGAGAGAAUUGGAUUUGAGCGAUCCCGACUCCUUCGUCAGAAAGAGGAGGGUCGCUUGAAAUGCAGGUGCAGCUGGACAUUCUUCUGAUCAAAAAGCAUAUCUAUUUAGUCCCGUCAAACGGAUUAUUACUUUUGCUUCAGCUAAUAUAAAGGUUGAAUGAACUACCAACGCUGAUUGCAGGAAAACAUGUUCGUUUAUUCGGACUUGUAAACUCGAUCUCAAAUCAAGUAAGACUACCCGCUGAACUUAAGCAUAUCAAUAAGCGGAGGA
rnacentral:misc_RNA from 1 species